rnacentral:tRNA from 1 species
ACCUGGUAAGCUCAGUCGGUAGAGCGCUCCGCCUGUAAUGGAGAAGCCCCAGGUUCGAUACCCGGACCAGGCG